CCUACGGGUGGCAGCAGUGAGGAAUAUUGGUCAAUGGACGAGAGUCUGAACCAGCCAAGUAGCGUGAAGGAUGACUGCCCUAUGGGUUGUAAACUUCUUUUAUAAAGGAAUAAAACGUGGCACGUGUGCCUUUUUGCGUGUCCUUUAUGAAUAAGGAUCGGCUAACUCCGUGCCAGCAGCCGCGGUAAUACGGAGGAUCCGAGCGUUAUCCGGAUUUAUUGGGUUUAAAGGGAGCGUAGAUGGGUUGUUAAGUCAGUUGUGAAAGUUUGCGGCUCAACCGUAAAAUUGCAAUUGAUACUGGCAGUCUUGAGUACAGUUGAGGUAGGCGGAAUUCGUGGUGUAGCGGUGAAAUGCUUAGAUAUAACGAAGAACCCCGAUUGCGAAGGCAGAUUACUAAACUGUGACUGACACUGAUGCUCGAAAGUGUGGGUAGCAAACAGGAUUAGAUACCCCUGUAGUC
rnacentral:rRNA from 1 species